AGUAACUGGCAUUUGGUUAUGGGGUGGCUGUUUUUCUACGUGGAACAAGCAGGGUCCCAGUUCAAGUUUCUGCUGCGUAUCUGAUAAUCUUGAGGUAUUUAUGAAGGACUCCUUUGAAAGUUCUCUACUGAGUUUCCUUAAGGAAUUCCUUAAGGAAUCCUUAAGGUAUUUCUACAGGAAGUAGGGGUCUGACUUCAGGAAUGGCUUAUUCCAAGUUGUAAAACUAUCCCCUGUCGUGAAGAGUUUCUCUCUUGACACCUAGGCUGGAAUGCAAUGGUGCAAUCUCGGCUGACUGCAACCUCCACCUCCGUGAUUCAAGCAAUUCUCCUGCCUCAGCCUCCUGAGUAACUGGGAUUACAGGUGCCUACCACCACACCUGGCUAAUUUUUGUAUUUUUAGUAGAGAUGGGGUUUCACCAAGUUGGCCAGGCUGGUCUCAAACUCCUGAGCUCAAGUGAUCCACCCACCUAGGCUUCCCAAAGUGCUGGAAUUAUAGGAGAGACCAAUUUGUUGAAUUGGACAGCUGGAAACAAGGAAGGGAAAAAGUAUUUCACUGAAAAGGCAGAAGACUGGCAUCAACUGCAAGCUGUGGAAUCAAGACAACUUUGGCUGAGUCCCAUUUUAUAUAGGACAAAAGGAGAGUGCUGUCCUCAAGGGCAAUAAUGCUUAUGAGAACAAAGAAGACUAUGGAGAAAUUUUAGGCAGUAGAAGAGAGCAGAAAGGCCAAGAGGAUCAGGGUU
rnacentral:antisense_RNA from 1 species